rnacentral:rRNA from 1 species
AGUAAAAGUCGUAACAAGGUUUCCGUAGGUGAACCUGCGGAAGGAUCAUUAUUGAAUAAACUUGGUGGGUUGUUGCUGGCUUUUCGGAGCAUGUGCACACCCAACCCAUUGUUUUUCUCCACCUGUGCACCAUUUGUAGACUUGGAUACCUCUCGGGGGAAACCCCGGUUUGAGGAUUGCUGGCUUCUUCAGAGGUCGGCUUUCCUUGCAUUUCCAGUCUAUGUUUUCAUAUACACUAUAAUGUUAUAGAAUGUCUUUUAUGGGCUUCAUUGCCUUUAAACUUAUACAACUUUCAACAACGGAUCUCUUGGCUCUCGCAUCGAUGAAGAACGCAGCGAAAUGCGAUAAGUAAUGUGAAUUGCAGAAUUCAGUGAAUCAUCGAAUCUUUGAACGCACCUUGCGCUCCUUGGUAUUCCGAGGAGCAUGCCUGUUUGAGUGUCAUUAAAUUCUCAACCUCUUCCAUUUUUAUUAAUGGGUUAGGCUUGGAUGUGGGGGUUGCGGGCUUCUAAGAAGUCGGCUCUCCUUAAAUGCAUUAGCGGAACCUUUGUGGACCGUCUUUGGUGUGAUAAUUAUCUACGCCAUGGUCGAGAAGCAGUUUUACAUGGGGUUCAGCUUCUAACUGUCUAUUUAUUUGGACAACUUUUGACAUUUUGACCUCAAAUCAGGUAGGACUACCCGCUGAACUUAAGCAUAUCAAUAAGCGGAGGA